GUUGAUUCAAUAUUCUUUGGGUUUGACUCUGUUGAUGACGAAGAUAUGAUAAUUGUUUCAGAUGAAGGAUUAGACUUCUGGGUAAUUAAAACUGCUGCAGAAGAUUUUUGAGUAGUUAAACCAGCUACAGGAGGCUUCUGGUUAUUUAAAGAAGCUACUGGAGGCUUCUGGUUAUUUAAAGAAGCUACUGGAGGCUUCUGGUUAUUUAAAGCAGCUACAGAGGAUUUCUGUUUGUUUAAACCUGCAACAGGAGGGGCUACUUUAGGAGCUUGUGGAGAAUCCAGUAACUCCUCUUUUACUUCCUUUUGGAACUGACUUGAAGUUGUGCUAGAGGCAGGAGAUGGGGGUUCU
rnacentral:lncRNA from 1 species